CUUUGUGGACCACCGUGGCUCCGCCACCGGAUUUCCAGGCCACCUUUAUUAGUUUUUGAUUAUGCGUUUUGAAGUUUCUGGAGAAAGGAAUAGGCAUUGGUUCAGUUUGACGUAUAAUGAAGGAAGGAGUUCGAAUGGUUGUUGGUGGUGGAGGACUACACUUAUUUAGAAUUGGCCCUCUAUUUGGAGAUGAAGAAUUGGUAAGGAAUUGGGUUCGGUGACCUUAUAAUUGCUAUAAUUGGUUUGGUCAAAUUAUUGAA